UACGGAGGGUGCAAGCGUUAUCCGGAAUCACUGGGCGUAAAGGGCGCGUAGGCGGUCUGUUAAGUCCGAUGUUAAAGACCGGGGCUCAACCCCGGUAGGGCGUUGGAUACUGGCAGGCUGGACGGCUGGAGAGGCGAGUGGAAUUACCAGUGUAGCGGUGGAAUGCGUAGAUACUGGUAGGAACACCUAUGGCGAAGGCAGCUCGCUGGACAGCACGUGACGCUGAGGCGCGAAAGUGUGGGGAG
rnacentral:rRNA from 1 species